CUGCCUCCGUUUGUAUUAGGUCCCCCUUCCCAGUCAGGCCCAGUCCCUUCCUCCUUUCCUCCUGGCCUCGCCCACGACCGGCAGUCAGUUGCGGUUGGAAUACGGAGAGAGAUGGACCUAGGAAGUUAGUAUCCACGUGUUACGGUUCCAGAUAGCAUCACGAACAGGAGGAAGGAAAGGAGGGAAGUAUGCUGAGGUUGCCGCAGGAGGAACGUGAAGGGAACCACUGAAGGGAACCACUGAAGAGAACCACUGAAGAGAACCACUGAAGGGAAUCACGCAGUCACAGGCAUUGUUUUGACUCUUUCCAGGUUAAAAAAAAAUGGUGUCCAGAACUCUCUCCACACAGUAUUUGCCUGGUGGUGGUGGUGGUGGUGACGAUGUAAGAAGCAGGAAGAGGUGACAAGUUUGAGGACACUACAUCGAGAAGGCAAUAACAGACCUGCAACCCUAGAAUGAGAGAAGACCACCUGCAACCCUAGAGAAUGAGAGAAAGACCUGCAACCCUAGAGAAUGAGAGAAAGACCUGCAACCCUAGAGAAUGAGAGAAAGACCUGCAACCCUAGAGAAUGAGAGAAAGACCUGCAACCCUAGAG